UAGCACAUUUUCAGCACUAGGACGAUUCAAAGUGCUUUACAUGAAUUAACUGUAAACGAAGUUAAGUCAGGUUUCCAGCUGUGACCUCUGACCCUUCCUGCAGGUAGCAGCCUGAUUCCGUCCUUGUUUCCCAGCAUGCAGCGGGAAGUGGACCUCUUCUGCACCCAGAGCGGAUCAGAACCGGGUGGAACCGGUCCAGUAGUGUGAAGAAGCCUCCGCCCUGCGCCGCUGUGGGUGUCAUGACUUACGGCUCUUCAUUGCUUCAUUGCUGCUGCUGCGUCGCAUUAAAGCCGAACCAUAACUCAGCGCUGCGGCCUGGCAGGGCGAGGCUAGCAGCAGGUAACCCGCCCUGACAGCUUUCUGAUGAGGUCACAUGAUUGACGGAGCGCCAGCUGCCGCAGCAGCUCGUAAAUCUACUGCUGAUCAAGCUGCAAGGAAUUAUGGGAGGCUGGCUGAGCUGCGGAGCGACGAGAGGAAUCGGAUGGAUCCCAGGAGGAUCAGGAGGAGACGGGAAGAUCGUAGAGACGGACUGCUCAGCGUUCACAGCCAGGACGGCUACCUGCUGGUGGUACAGUUGUGACGGGAUGAUCUGCUGCUGGACCGCACUGACCCGCUGCAGAACAUCAGGGCCGGGUUCGAGGUCACCCCGGGGUCAGGAGGUCGCCGUCUGUCCAUCACUCGUCUUGCGUAAGUCCAGGACCCCCGUCUCAUCCGUCCCGCUGUGAGGACGUCCGUCUUCCCUCUGGAAGUCGGGCCAGAGGUUGAGAAACAGCAGCUGGGAGGUUCUGGAGGUUCUGCUGAUCCGAGGGAGAAAGAGCCGAGUCAGCAGGACAGGGGCCGGGGGGCUGAAACCUGAGACUGGAGAUGGACGGAUGAAUUUACCUCCAGUGCUUCAUCAGCCUGGCGGGCUGCCAGCCUCCAGUUGCUCCUCAGGCUGAGCUUCGUUCAGGUUUUAUCCAGAAACAGCAACAGGAAAACGUCAGUAUGUGAAGACAGCCUGGGGUCAGAGGUCAUUCACCUGAACUCUAACCACUUCCUGCCUCAUGCUAACAACUUCAGCUAAUAAAGUCAAUAAAGGAUCAAAACAUUUGGACACUUUAGGAUGAAACAA